AGUCUGCUGCCUACCUUCAGCGGCCGAUGCCCUAAUCCGGGAUCAGGCAAAUAAGCUUUCAUCUUCGCAGCACUUAAGUUAAUUACAUGGAGGCCGGUGGAGGCCCCGGAGCCUACUCGGCUCUGCUCACAGCCCUCCCGAAGCCAAACAUCAUAGGAUCCAGAUGCAAACCCUUGCCAGCUUAAGCCCAACAAAUUUCCUUUGUCAAGAAAUGCAAACAGCCAAACAUCGCCGCGUAGGCUACUUCAGUGAGUGGGCCUCCUUCUGGGGCGCUGGGCCCCCGGGGCGGAGGCCAGAAGCGAAGACCAGAAACCAAUUAAAAAAAAAAAAAAAGCACGAGUGGUCAGGGCCUCCUCGCUGUUUCCCAGGCGUCCGGCGGGUUGCUCUGUUUUAUUUUGGACGGAUUACCGAUCAAAAUGACUGGCCGCCUCCUUUAAUGGAGCCGGAAGUGUCUCGAUGAUUUAGGAAUCCAUCCCAGCAGUGGGAAUGCCGGAGUGGGGGAGGGGCUGUCCCCCCCCCACUCCCCGCCCCCCGCAGACUUCCUUCUAAGUUGGCUCCUGCACCAUGCUCUCUGAUUCCCUCCGAUCUGUCCCAGUUUGCAUGGUUCCUUGGCUUGGACUACCCUCCACUCUGCAGAUAUCCUGUCCCUGCUCUCUGUCUCCCUGGGACCUGCGUUGUCCGGCAACCUUCUUCCCUGACUUUGUGUCCCACCUGCCAUCAGAGCGACAUGUGGCCCUCUCUCUGACCCCUGCUGUGCAGGGUGGCUUGGACUGGGAUUCACUGCCGUGAGGCAGGUGUCACAGCGGACCCACCUGGAGGACACUCUCCGAGAGCCCACCCUACUCCCAUGUGUGUGGAAUGAAUAAGCAACUAAUAAAUAAGUGUGCUGUUGUAGAUGCUGAGGAUGCACUACUGCCCUGCUCUCAUGAGGCUGUCAUCCCAGUGCAGCGGAUGAAGAGUGCACGAGGAAACACGGAGAACUUGGAGCAAGGGAGAUGGGGCAAGGGCUCUACUGGGAAAUAGAGCAGGGUCAGGCAAUGAGCGGAACUAUGUCUGCGUCAGGUGGCCAGGGAAAGCUUCUCUGUAGCCGUGACCUGGAGCAGCGGCCACCAUGGCAGUUAGCAGCAUGGGUCUCUAGGGGUGAGCAUUCCAGGCAGACAGACGAGCAUGUGCAAAGGCCCUGAGGCGAGAAUGGGUUCAGUGUGUUUGAUGAAGAGCAAAGAAGCCAACACAGCCAAAGCAGAGUGGCAGGAGCUGGGAAAGAGAAGGAGCCGAGGCCUAAACCCAUCACCCCGAGGCCACGAUUGGGGUCCUAGAUUUUAUCUGCAUGAGAGGUGAGCCACUGGGUUUUGAGCACAAAAGUAACAUGUUGAAAAAUGGCUGGAGGGGGAUAUAUUCACCUCCCAGGGUUGCCGGAACAGAUUACCCCAAACUGGGUGGCUUAAAACAACAGACAUUCAUCCUUUCCAGUUCCAGAGGCCAGGAGUCCAAAAUCAAGAUGUCAGCAGGACUGGACCCCUCUGGAGACUCCCUUACAAGCCUCGCUCCUGGCUUCUGGUGGUUUCCCACAAUCUAUGGCGCGCCGUGGCUUAUAGAAGCCUCACUCCAGCCUCACAUGGCCAUCUACACAUGGCCUUCCUCUCUGUGUUUCUUCUUCCCUCCCUUCUUUUCUAUGGAUGUUUGUCAUUGGCUUUGGAUCCCACCUGGGUCACAUAGGAUGCUCUCAUUUCAAGAUGCAUUAAAGCCAAACUCACAGGUUCUGGGUAGAUGUAUCUUUUGAGAGCCAGUGUUCAAACCACCAUGGGGGCCAGGGUGGACACAGGGAGGGGACCAGUUAAGAUGCUACUUCUCUCACUCAGGUCAGCGAUCCUGAUGGCUCACCUGGACCAAAAAGGGGAAAGUCGAGUCUCAGCAGGUUUAAGAGUUUAUCAGGAGAUGGAAUCCAAAGGAUGUGACGAAUGACCAAGUACAGAGAAUUGAGGAAGAGGGCACAGUUAGGGAUGACUCAACUGCCACCCUUUUGGCUUAAACAACUAGGUGUAUGCUUGCUUAGUCAUGUCCAACUCUUUGCAACCUUGUGAACUCUAGCCCGCCAGGCUUCUCUGUCCAUGGGAUUCUCCAGGCAAGAAUACUGGAGUGGGUUGCCAUUUGCUCCUCUAGAGGAACUUCCUAACCCAGGGAUCGAACCCAGGUCUCCUGUCUCCCGCAUUGCAGGCAGGUGCUUUACUGCUUGAGUCAUCAACUAGGAGGAUCAUGAUUUUAAAAUCUUUUAUUUCAUCCAAUCCUAUACCACAAAGCUUACCCUUCUCACACAACAUUGUAAAUCAACUAUCCUCCAAUGUAAAAUAAAAAUUAAUUUUGGAAUGUUUAAAAAGUACCCUUCUCCCCAGAACCAAUUACCCCAGUUCCCAGAAAGAGCACACUCAAUCUCUUAAAGCUGCCCUGCUUCCUCACGGGGCCCCAGGAAACACAAGAAGACCUUCGUGUGAUUGCUAAGUAAUUGCUUUUCAACUGUAAAAGUAAUUAAGAAAUGGCACCAAUUUCCCUAAGUGUAAUGUAAUUAAAUCCACUGGCUUGGAAAAUCAUUUGCGAUAAACUGAAACAG